AAAGUCGUAGGCGCGGUUUUCUCUCUCGCAUAAUGUAUGAGUUCGAUGCUAAACACGCUAAUACUAUAACCGAUCUGCGCAGUCUGACAGACCCCGGCACAUUUCGACACAAACGCUGGCACCACGAAAAUUAACAGGAUUUUUUUCGAAAAUAAUAAUGUGAAUUGGGGAUAUAUCUGAAACUCUACAAAAAUGUCCAGUUGGAGGAUUAGAUUCCACGAUAAGUGGCCCCACAUGUCCUCCCUCUACUCCGGGGGUACAUCAAGGGAGGACGAAGAACAGAAAUAUGUGGACCCAGUGAUGGUCUUUGACAAUGUGUACGAAAACCCAGCAGAUCCCUAUGGCGCCUACAAGUUCUACAUGGCGCCAAGGGAGGAAUUCGUCAUCCAAUCCGAGCCACAUCUGUACCCCGUCCGAGCCGUUUACAAGGAGGACGACGACCGGACUUCCGGUUACGCGACCAGUGGCGGAUCCAGUACUCUGAGGGACGGAUCGUCCAAGAGAAUUCUUCUCUGUGUCUUGCUGAUCUUCUUGUUGAUUGGUGCAGUGAUUGCGGCUGUCGUUAUGGCUGUACUGAUUUCACAUCAAAGGAGAAUAAAACCCCUUCAACCAGAAUUACAGCAGGAGGGUCUGUGUCUUAAUGAAUUUCAUGUUCAUAAAAAUUACAUGUUUUACCUGCAAUAUUUCUAAUAUCAUUACACUUUCACUAUAAAAUACAGAUGUGUUGGAAUCCAAUAUACGAAUAGGCAAUCGAACUUACAUCCUGGAAUACAGUGAUCCGAAUAGCCAAGAGUACAAAUUACUCGAAACCGAAUUUUGUGAAGGAAUUGACGCUAUGUUCUACCGAAUUGAUUCUCCAUUGAAAACGGAAUACAAAGGCUGUAAAGUUUUGAGCUUCAGGAAUGGAAGUGUAAUAGCUAGGAACCUGAUGACAUUUCUACGGAAAGACAUGAAGCCGACUCAAGCGGUGAAAGAUGAGGUUUAUAACUUUCUCAAAGAGACCAUUCCAAAGAAAGGAAUAUGGAACCCACUGCUACUAAACGCAGAAUCCCUUGACAUUUACCCAGUGGAAAUGAUAAAUAUCAAGCCAGAAGUAGAUCCAAAUUAUGUAAAACCGACUGAAGAUGAUGUUUCAGAAAAAUCUAGCAUACACUCCGUCUCAGAGUACGUUAAAACCAAGGAACACACUCCCUCAUCAUCUGUUCUGACGUUUCAAGAAUCAAAACAAACUUUUCCUGUAUCGGACAGUCGUGAUAAAGUUCAUUUAUUUUCAACCUUGGGUGAUAAGGGACAACUAUAUCCAUCACAAAGUUUACAUCAACUUAUUGAAUCAUUAUCACCUGUCCAUUCAUCUAAGGUUUUAUCGCACUCAACAGACAAACUACUUCCAAGUUUGGAUUAUUCAACCGGAUUAAACCCCUCCUCCACUCUUUCCCCAGGGGCGACACAUUCAGACAUAUUCCCCCAAAUUUCAAACAUUCCCUUUGAUUCUGUAAGAGCUAAUAUUGAUAUGCAUUUGCAGAGCCUUUUGCAUUUCUUACCAAUGGAUCAACAAGUAAGAACGCCGUCCAAAUCUCUUCAUUUAGAUUCCACUUCUAGAAUUAAUAAUGAUUUUUUCAAUUUUUUAAAUUCUGUUCCAUCCUCACAUCAGAUGCAACCCAAAUCUUCUGUUGGAAGAGAUCAGAUGAACAUCAAUGACCUGGAUUUAUUACUUGCGACUGGAGAUUUCAACAAAGUUUUGUUCCCGACAUCGGCAUCACCUGUUUUGGAUGAAACACAGGCGUCGGUUAAAUCGCAAGGCGACUUACCUGUCUACGGAACAAGCUUAACUAAACAUUUACUGUCAAAUACAAUGGACCAACUGUCGUCAAGUUCGCUUAACUUAGAUGGGUUUUUCCUGCAAAGCUCCAACCUAGUCUUCCCGUCAGAAAGAUUUGGCCAAACAAAAUCCACGAGCGUUUUAUCCUCACUAUCGUCGUCGACACCGCCAAUCAGUUCGAUUAUAAAUGAUAUGGACAUGUUUUUCAACAAUUUACUACCCUCGAUUCCAUCGAUAAAAGAUUCUUCGAUUGUUUCUUCAGGAACGUUUGAACAAAACUCCAAUGCACAAUUAAUAACGUCUUCCAUGUCCCAAAGCGAUAGUAUGAAUUUUGAUGUUACACCAUCUGAUCUGUUCGAUUGGUCAGAUUACGACAUUUUUAGCGGAUUCAACCAAGUGACAACUCCACCAAGUACCUCGACGGGAUUCUCAAAUGAUCUUUUUGGAAACAUUCAAGAAUCCGUAGCAGAUGAUACGCAAUCGUUUUUUGACUUCUUUUCACACACUUCAACAAAAGAAGAAUCGUCCAACGAUGGACUCCCAGAAAAUGUUUUAAUGAAUACCGCACAAAGUGGAACGGCGUCCUCGUCAUCACCGACACAAGAUCUAGGAAUGAACUCUGAUCAGUCCAUGUUUUCGUUUUUGAAUAAUGUACCUAAAGGUUCUAAUAAAGUUGUUGAUGAAUUUGACACUGCAACACAC
rnacentral:misc_RNA from 1 species